UGAUUGUUUAGUUAGUGACUUUGCCAACUUCCUGGAGGUUCAUGUCGGAUUCUGCAAAAGGACUGCAUUUCCUUUUGGAAUGGGGACUGAGAAAGAGAGGCAGCAGAAGCCUGGGUUCACCAGCAAAUUGAAUUAAUUUUGUAAAAGUUGGACAGAAGCAAGGUUUUUUUUUUUUUCCAAGAGAACAUUUCUGAACAAAAAGCGUGUAGCAUGGACACCCUAAGGAAGAGACAAGAGGCACAUGCUGGGUAUAUGAAAACCCCACCAGUUCUUCAACUACUGACUCCUUCUAACCUAGAGAGAAAUGGCAUAGGAUCCUGAGCACAAGAGCCCUAAGAAAAGCAAUGCUUAGACCAAUGGCCCUACUUCCAGUUAGCCUUUGGCAGCCAUCAUUAUGGGAAUCGACUUUUCUUGAGAUGAGGAUUCCCAUCCCCACCAGUACCAUCACCAUCUCCUACCAACUGACAUUAGUGGGCAGAUGCUGUAGUCUCCCUUCUUUCUUAGCUGAUGUAGCUACUGAAGACCUGAAUGAUAAAGUCGUUACCACCCAAGUUCUAAUGGUUCAACUUUGGAAAUGGAUAUUGAUGGAGAACCAACGAUAAAGAAGAUGCAUUUCUAUCUGCUUUGUUGUUGCACCCUAAUUUUGCCUUAGAACCCUCCUGUGUGUGUUGUCUCUCCCUAUUAGAAUGUGAGGUCCUUGAAAGCAAGGGCUCUCUGGCUUUUUUAUGUGUUCCCAUGCUUUGAACUCA